UGAAGAGUUUGCCAUAGAUGGGCGCUUCUGC
rnacentral:piRNA from 1 species